rnacentral:rRNA from 1 species
ACCAACAGGGAUUGCCCUAGUAACGGCGAGUGAAGCGGCAAUAGCUCAAAUUUGAAAUCUGGCUCUUUCAGAGUCCGAGUUGUAAUUUGCAGAGGGCGCUUUGGCAUUGGCAGCGGUCCAAGUUCUUUGGAACAGGACGUCACAGAGGGUGAGAAUCCCGUACGUGGUCGCUAGCCUUUGCCGUGUAAAGCCCCUUCGACGAGUCGAGUUGUUUGGGAAUGCAGCUCUAAAUGGGAGGUAAAUUUCUUCUAAAGCUAAAUACUGGCCAGAGACCGAUAGCGCACAAGUAGAGUGAUCGAAAGAUGAAAAGCACUUUGGAAAGAGAGUCAAAUAGCACGUGAAAUUGUUGAAAGGGAAGCGCUUGCAGCCAGACUUGCCUGUAGUUGCUUAUCUGGACUUUUGUCCAGUGCACUCUUCUGCGGGCAGGCCAGCAUCAGUUUGGGCGGUUGGAUAAAGGUCUCUGUCAUGUACCUCUCUUCGGGGAGGCCUUAUAGGGGAGACGACAUGCAACCAGCCUGGACUGAGGUCCGCGCAUCUGCUAGGAUGCUGGCGUAAUGGCUGUAAGCGGCCCGUCUUGAAACACGGACCAAGGAGUCUAACAUCUAUGCGAGUGUUUGGGUGUCAAGCCCAGACGCGUAAUGAAAGUGAACGGAGGUGGGAACCCUUUGGGUGCACCAUCGACCGAUCCUGAUGUCUUCGGAAGGAUUUGAGUAAGAGCAUGGCUGUUGGGACCCGAAAGAUGGUGAACUAUGCUUGAAUAGGGUGAAGCCAGAGGAAACUCUGGUGGAGGCUCGCAGCGGUUCUGACGUGCAAAUCGAUCGUCAAAUUUGGGCAUAGGGGCGAAAGACUAAUCGAA